AUUGAACGCUGGCGGCAGGCCUAACACAUGCAAGUCGAGCGGAUGAAGGGAGCUUGCUCCUGGAUUCAGCGGCGGACGGGUGAGUAAUGCCUAGGAAUCUGCCUGGUAGUGGGGUAUAACGUCCGGAAACGGGCGCUAAUACCGCAUACGUCCUGAGGGAGAAAGUGGGGGAUCUUCGGACCUCACGCUAUCAGAUGAGCCUAGGUCGGAUUAGCUAGUUGGUGGGGUAAAGGCCUACCAAGGCGACGAUCCGUAACUGGUCUGAGAGGAUGAUCAGUCACACUGGAACUGAGCCACGGUCCAGACUCCUACGGGAGGCAGCAGUGGGGAAUAGUGGACAAUGGGCGAAAGCAUGAUCCAGCCAUGCCGCGUGUGUGAAGAAGGUCUUCGGAUUGUAAAGCACUUUAAGUUGGGAGAAAGGGCAGUAAGUUAAUACCUUGCUGUUUUGACGUUACCAACAGAAUAAGCACCGGCUAACUUCGUG
rnacentral:rRNA from 1 species